rnacentral:rRNA from 1 species
GACCCCGCACAAGCGGCGGAGCAUGCGGCUUAAUUCGAUGAUACCCGUAGAACCUUACCUGGACUUGACAUAUAGGGAAAAGCUAAAGAAAUUUAGUGUGCGUAAGCGCCCUAUACAGGUGGUGCAUGGCUGUCGUCAGCUCGUGUCGUGAGAUGUUGGGUUAAGUCCCGCAACGAGCGCAACCCCCUGUCCUAUGUUGCCAGCAAGUAAUGUUGGGGACUCAUAGGAGACUGCCGUGAUAAACCGGAGGAAGGUGGGACGACGUCAAGUCAUCAUGCCCCUUAUGUCCAGGGCUGCACGCAUGCUACAAUGGCAAGUACAACGAGUCGCAAUACCGCGAGGUGGGAGCAAAUCUUUAAAACCGAUCUC